AUCUUUGCACUUGGGGCAAUGACGCAGCUAGUGAGGUAAAACCGAGGUGCGUCAAUUACUGGUUGAAAACUAUUUCCAACCCCUCGUUGGCCUGGGCUAUGCUUUGGCCUUCGAGACUUUUUGUAGGGUACGCCUU
rnacentral:snRNA from 1 species